rnacentral:misc_RNA from 1 species
GGAACAUCCAGAGGUGGUGGGCUCUGCACAUAUACAGCAUCCAAUGGAUGUCAUGUAACCUUGGGUAAACAUUAUUAUGUACUCACUUGGUAAAAGAUUCAUUUAUCCUCAAUAUACCUGUUUGUGCUUCCUCAGCUGCUAUUAGUCUCUAGAAAUUCAUCUAUUUGAAUGGGUGUUCCACACAGUUUCUUUAAAUUUAGAUUUAGUUCACUUAUGUAUGUUUAUGUUGUCUAAUUGAAAAUUAUAAUCCAUUAUUGUGUAUCUUAUAAUCCUUUCACCUAUCUUUAGUAAAAAAAAAAAUGUGCAUCUAAUAUAAGCUCCACCUCACAUUGUAUCGAAAUUUGUGCAGAAUCAAUUAAAAUGUGUAUAAUGAUUGUACAAAUUUAAAUGCAAAUAUUUAAUCUAAUGAUUGAUAAGCUCAUUCUUAAAUAAGAACAAGCUUCUAAUUAGCUACACAUAAAAAAAAUAGCUAAUUACAGAAAAUCUAUGUUGGCCAUGAGCUACUAGCCCAGUGGUUAAGUACUUACCUCGCAGUGCAGGAGGUUAUGGGUUCAAACCCCAAGUGUCACAAUUUUCUUUUAGGUAUUUCCAAAGCACCAAAUAAAAAUACAUUGCCUCAACAUUGUAAGUUUAGGAAUUACUUUCUCCCAAAUUACACCAAAAUCUUCCCCUCUCUUGCUUGUUUAUAACAAAAAAUGUUAAAACUUUGUCUUUGACUUGCUUCCUUGCAAAAUUGUCAGACAAACUACUUCCUAGGAGCUUCUCAAAAUGUUCAAUUUCAAUCCAAAAGUUAAAGUUUACUUGCUAUAAAAGAAACACAUAAAGAAGAAGAAGAGGAAGAAGAGGAGGAGGAGUGAAGGGAGAGAUCAAAC